rnacentral:rRNA from 1 species
CAACUUUCGACAACGGAUCUCUUGGUUCUCCCAUCGAUGAAGAACGCAGCGAAACGCGAUAGGUAAUGUGAAUUGCAGAAUUCCGUGAAUCAUCGAAUCUUUGAACGCACCUUGCGCUCUAUGGCAAUCCGUAGAGCAUGCCAGUUUGAGUGCCAU